rnacentral:rRNA from 1 species
UACAGAGGAGCCAAGCGUUGUCCGGAUUUACUGGGCGUAAAGAGCGCGCAGGCGGCUGGUCAAGUCCGAUGUGAAAGCUCCCGGCUUAACUGGGAAAUUGCAUCGGAAACUGAUCGGCUGGAAGGUGGGAGAGGGUAGCGGAAUUCCCGGUGUAGUGGUGAAAUGCGUAGAUAUCGGGAGGAACACCAGUGGCGAAAGCGGCUACCUGGCCCAUUCUUGACGCUGAGGCGCGAAAGCUAGGGGAGCAAACGGG